GGUUAAGUGACUAAGCGUACACGGUGGAUGCCUAGGCAGUCAGAGGCGAUGAAGGGCGUGCUAAUCUGCGAAAAGCGUCGGUAAGGUGAUAUGAACCGUUACAACCGGCGAUACCCGAAUGGGGAAACCCAGUGUGUUUCGACACACUAUCAUGUCAUGAAUACAUAGUGGCAUGAGGCGAACCGGGGGAACUGAAACAUCUAAGUACCCCGAGGAAAAGAAAUCAACCGAGAUUCCCCCAGUAGCGGCGAGCGAACGGGGAGGAGCCCAGAACCUGAAUCGGCUUGUGUGUUAGUGGAAGCGUCUGGAAAGUCGCGCAGCAAAGGGUGAUAGCCCCGUACACUAAAAUGCACAGGUCGUGAGUUCGAUGAGUAGGGCGGGACACGUGACAUCCUGUCUGAAUAUGGGGGGACCAUCCUCCAAGGCUAAAUACUCCUGACUGACCGAUAGUGAACCAGUACCGUGAGGGAAAGGCGAAAAGAACCCCGGCGAGGGGAGUGAAAUAGAACCUGAAACCGUGUACGUACAAGCAGUGGGAGCACCUUCGUGGUGUGACUGCGUACCUUUUGUAUAAUGGGUCAGCGACUUAUAUUUUGUAGCAAGGUUAACCGUAUAGGGGAGCCGUAGGGAAACCGAGUCUUAACUGGGCGAAUAGUUGCAAGGUAUAGACCCGAAACCCGGUGAUCUAGCCAUGGGCAGGUUGAAGGUUGGGUAACACUAACUGGAGGACCGAACCGACUAAUGUUGAAAAAUUAGCGGAUGACUUGUGGCUGGGGGUGAAAGGCCAAUCAAACCGGGAGAUAGCUGGUUCUCCCCGAAAGCUAUUUAGGUAGCGCCUCGUGAACUCAUCUUCGGGGGUAGAGCACUGUUUCGGCUAGGGGGCCAUCCCGGCUUACCAAACCGAUGCAAACUCCGAAUACCGAAGAAUGUUAUCACGGGAGACACACGGCGGGUGCUAACGUCCGUCGUGAAGAGGGAAACAACCCAGACCGCCAGCUAAGGUCCCAAAGUCAUGGUUAAGUGGGAAACGAUGUGGGAAGGCAUAGACAGCCAGGAUGUUGGCUUAGAAGCAGCCAUCAUUUAAAGAAAGCGUAAUAGCUCACUGGUCGAGUCGGCCUGCGCGGAAGAUGUAACGGGGCUAAACCAUGCACCGAAGCUGCGGCAGCGACGCUUAGGCGUUGUUGGGUAGGGGAGCGUUCUGUAAGCCGUUGAAGGUGGCCUGUGAGGGUUGCUGGAGGUAUCAGAAGUGCGAAUGCUGACAUAAGUAACGAUAAAGCGGGUGAAAAGCCCGCUCGCCGGAAGACCAAGGGUUCCUGUCCAACGUUAAUCGGGGCAGGGUGAGUCGACCCCUAAGGCGAGGCUGAAAAGCGUAGUCGAUGGGAAACAGGUUAAUAUUCCUGUACUUGGUGUUACUGCGAAGGGGGGACGGAGAAGGCUAGGCUAGCCGGGCGACGGUUGUCCCGGUUUAAGCGUGUAGGGGGUGUGACCUGGUAAAUCCGGUUGCAUAUCAACCCUGAGGCGUGAUGACGAUGCACUACGGUGCAGAAGUAGUUGAUGCCCUGCUUCCAGGAAAAGCCUCUAAGCUCUAGGUAACAUUAAAUCGUACCCCAAACCGACACAGGUGGUCAGGUAGAGAAUACCAAGGCGCUUGAGAGAACUCGGGUGAAGGAACUAGGCAAAAUGGUGCCGUAACUUCGGGAGAAGGCACGCUGGCAUGUAGGUGAAGUCCUUCGCGGAUGGAGCUGAAGCCAGUCGAAGAUACCAGCUGGCUGCAACUGUUUAAUAAAAACACAGCACUGUGCAAACACGAAAGUGGACGUAUACGGUGUGACGCCUGCCCGGUGCUGGAAGGUUAAUUGAUGGGGUCAGCCGCAAGGCGAAGCUCUUGAUCGAAGCCCCAGUAAACGGCGGCCGUAACUAUAACGGUCCUAAGGUAGCGAAAUUCCUUGUCGGGUAAGUUCCGACCUGCACGAAUGGCGUAAUGAUGGCCAGGCUGUCUCCACCCGAGACUCAGUGAAAUUGAACUCGCUGUGAAGAUGCAGUGUACCCGCGGCAAGACGGAAAGACCCCGUGAACCUUUACUAUAGCUUGACACUGAACAUUGAGCCUUGAUGUGUAGGAUAGGUGGGAGGCUUUGAAGCGUGGACGCCAGUCUGCGUGGAGCCAUCCUUGAAAUACCACCCUUUAAUGUUUGAUGUUCUAACUCGGCCCCAUAAUCUGGGGUGAGGACAGUGUCUGGUGGGUAGUUUGACUGGGGCGGUCUCCUCCCAAAGAGUAACGGAGGAGCACGAAGGUUAGCUAAUCACGGUCGGACAUCGUGAGGUUAGUGCAAAGGCAUAAGCUAGCUUGACUGCGAGAGUGACGGCUCGAGCAGGUACGAAAGUAGGUCUUAGUGAUCCGGUGGUUCUGAAUGGAAGGGCCAUCGCUCAACGGAUAAAAGGUACUCCGGGGAUAACAGGCUGAUACCGCCCAAGAGUUCAUAUCGACGGCGGUGUUUGGCACCUCGAUGUCGGCUCAUCACAUCCUGGGGCUGAAGUAGGUCCCAAGGGUAUGGCUGUUCGCCAUUUAAAGUGGUACGCGAGCUGGGUUUAGAACGUCGUGAGACAGUUCGGUCCCUAUCUGCCGUGGGCGUUGGAAGAUUGAGAGGGGUUGCUCCUAGUACGAGAGGACCGGAGUGAACGCACCACUGGUGUUCGGGUUGUCAUGCCAAUGGCAUUGCCCGGUAGCUAAGUGCGGAAAAGAUAAGCGCUGAAAGCAUCUAAGCGCGAAACUUGCCUCAAGAUGAGUCUUCCCUGGGCCUUUAAGGCCCCUGAAGGAACGUUUAAGACUAAGACGUUGAUAGGCUGGGUGUGUAAGUGCAGCGAUGCAUUGAGCUAACCAGUACUAAUGAUCCGUGAGGCUUAACCUU
rnacentral:rRNA from 1 species